rnacentral:piRNA from 1 species
UUCUGCAAGACCUAAGCUCUACCCUC